rnacentral:rRNA from 1 species
GAUGAACGCUGGCGGCGUGCUUAACACAUGCAAGUCGAACGGGAAAUAUUUCAUUGAGACUUCGGUGGAUUUGAUCUAUUUCUAGUGGCGGACGGGUGAGUAACGCGUGGGUAACCUGCCUUAUACAGGGGGAUAACAGUCAGAAAUGACUGCUAAUACCGCAUAAGCGCACAGGACCGCAUGGUCCGGUGUGAAAAACUCCGGUGGUAUAAGAUGGACCCGCGUUGGAUUAGCUUGUUGGUGGGGUAACGGCCCACCAAGGCGACGAUCCAUAGCCGGCCUGAGAGGGUGAACGGCCACAUUGGGACUGAGACACGGCCCAGACUCCUACGGGAGGCAGCAGUGGGGAAUAUUGCACAAUGGGGGAAACCCUGAUGCAGCGACGCCGCGUGAAGGAAGAAGUAUCUCGGUAUGUAAACUUCUAUCAGCAGGGAAGAUAGUGACGGUACCUGACUAAGAAGCCCCGGCUAACUACGUGCCAGCAGCCGCGGUAAUACGUAGGGGGCAAGCGUUAUCCGGAUUUACUGGGUGUAAAGGGAGCGUAGACGGUGUGGCAAGUCUGAUGUGAAAGGCAUGGGCUCAACCUGUGGACUGCAUUGGAAACUGUCAUACUUGAGUGCCGGAGGGGUAAGCGGAAUUCCUAGUGUAGCGGUGAAAUGCGUAGAUAUUAGGAGGAACACCAGUGGCGAAGGCGGCUUACUGGACGG